rnacentral:lncRNA from 1 species
CUUGCUUCUGGUGAUGGCUUCUCUCAUUUAGCAUAGGAUUCAAGGUUGUUUAGAAUAUUGUCAUGGAAUCUUAAUAGGUUAUACAUAAAAGGCUCGAGUUACAAGCACAUCCUAAGCUACAAGCACAUGCUUAGUUGUUACACACACACCCAUUAUGUCUAUAUACACAUCCAAGGCUUUUGAUUUGCUCAUUUAGAUAUUAUUUUCCUUGUCAUGGUAUGGAUCUCAAUCACCCUCACUUUCUUCAUUGCCUUAACAUGAGUCUUAUUGCCUCUCAAUCAUCUUCGCUCUCUUCCUUGCCUUGACAUGAGUCUUCUUGCCUCUCAAUUACCCUCACUCUCUUCCUUGCCCUAAUAUGAGUCUUGUUGCCUCUCAAUCACCCUCGCUCUCUUCCUUGCUCUAACAUGAGCCUUAUUGCCUCUCAAUCACAUUUGCUCUCUUCCUUGCUCUGACUUGAGUCUUGUUGCCUCUCAAUCAUCUUCACUCUCUUCCUUGCCUUGACAUGAGUCUUGUUGCCUCUCAAUCACCUUCACUCUUUUCCUUGUCCUAACAUGAUUCUUGUUGCUUUUCAAUCACAUUUGCUCUCUUCCUUGCCCUCACAUGAGUCUUGUUGCCUUUCAAUCAUCCUUGCUCUCUUCCUUGCCCUAACAUGAACCUUAUUGCCUCUCAAUCACCCUCGCUCUCUUCCUUGCCCUAACAUGAGCCUUAUUGCCUCUCAAUCACAUUUGCUCUCUUCCUUGCUCUGACUUGAGUCUUGUUGCCUCUCAAUCAUCUUCACUCUCUUCCUUGCCUUGACAUGAGUCUUGUUGCCUCUCAAUCACCUUCACUCUUUUCCUUGUCCUAACAUGAUUCUUGUUGCUUUUCAAUCACAUUUGCUCUCUUCCUUGCCCUCACAUGAGUCUUGUUGCCUUUCAAUCACCCUUGCUCUCUUCCUUGCCCUAACAUGAACCUUAUUGCCUCUCAAUCACCCUCGCUCUCUUCCUUGCCCUAACAUGAGCCUUAUUGCCUCUCAAUCACAUUUGCUCUCUUCCUUGCUCUGACUUGAGUCUUGUUGCCUCUCAAUCAUCUUC